GGAGGGGGGGGGGGGGAGGGGGAGACGACGCUGAAACUUCUCCUGAAAUCUGGGGCGACUGCACGAGAAGGAGUGUCCGGAGGACGUGCAGGCGACAGAGGGAGACACCGAGGAGGUGAGUGACGGCUUUACCCACGGAAGGGGGGUAAAAAAAGAUGACCGUGGUGUCCCAGGAGAACCAGGACGACACUGUGGUCCUAGGUCCCUCCGUACCUGAUGCUGCAGACCUGGAAGCGGCGGAGCAGGAGUGCAGCGAGCGGGUGUUCAUCAACAUCUCAGGUCUGCGCUUUGAGACGCAGCUCAAGACCCUCUCUCGCUUCCCCGCCACACUUUUGGGAGACCCGCGUAAAAGGAUGCGUUUCUUCGACCCGCUGAGAAACGAGUACUUCUUUGACAGGAACAGGCCGAGCUUUGACGCCAUCCUGUAUUAUUACCAGUCAGGGGGCCGGCUCCGCAGACCCGUCAGCGUACCUGUGGAUAUUUUCCUGGAGGAGAUUAAGUUUUACGAACUCGAUGAAGACGCCGUGGACAUGUUCCGAGAGGACGAGGGCUUGGCCAAGGAGGAUGACCGUCCUCUGCCCACCAACGAGUACCAGCGCCAACUGUGGCUCCUGUUCGAGUAUCCGGAAAGUUCAGGACCUGCGCGGAGUAUCGCCAUCGUGUCCGUCAUGGUGAUUUUGAUAUCCAUUGUUAUAUUCUGUCUGGAGACGUUACCGGAGUUCAGAGAACUUCCGGCGGUCGUCAACGGGAGUUCCCACGCCAGAGAAACCAACCCGUUCACGGACCCCUUUUUCAUGGUGGAGACUCUCUGCAUCGUGUGGUUCAGCUUUGAAUUCACCAUGAGGUUUCUGUCGUGCCCCAGCAAGCCGGCGUUCUUCAAGAACAUCAUGAACAUCAUCGACGUCGUCGCCAUCGCUCCUUAUUUCAUCACUCUGGGCAUGGAUCUGGCAGAGCACCAGGGCAGCAGUCAGCAGGCUGCGUCACUGGCCAUCCUCAGGGUCAUCCGUCUGGUACGUGUGUUCAGGAUUUUUAAACUCUCCAGACACUCCAAGGGGCUCCAGAUCCUGGGCCAAACGCUUCACGCAAGCCUGAGGGAGCUGGGUCUGCUCAUCUUCUUCCUGCUCAUCGGCGUGGUUUUAUUCUCCAGCUCGGUGUACUUCGCCGAAGCGGAAGACCCGGACUCCGUCUUUUCCAGUAUACCCGACGCCUUCUGGUGGGCAGUGGUGACCAUGACCACUGUCGGCUAUGGUGACAUGUAUCCCACCACCAUUUGGGGGAAAGUUGUGGGAUCGUUAUGCGCCAUCGCUGGAGUACUGACCAUAGCCUUGCCGGUUCCUGUGAUCGUGUCCAAUUUUAACUAUUUCUACCACCGAGAGAACGAGGAGGAGGACAAUGUCCAGUAUGUGCACGUGACGUGCGGUCAUCCUCCACAAGUCUCCUUCGCAGAACGGGCGUCAAACAAAAGUGAACGGUCGCUCUGCAGCACGGAGUCCUACCAUGACAACGGAGACCAGGACAGUCUGACUCAUCCAAACAUCAACCCGCUGGAGAAUUACACGGGGAAGCUGACAGAUGUAUGAGGAGGGACGCAGCUUUCCUCCUAUUCUUUUUUCCCGGUGAGUUUCCCCCCCCGCCCCCUUCUGCGGAUGUUCAGCUGUUGACUUCAGGUGCAGCUUUCUGUACGCAGGCUGACGCAGAGGUCACCGGAUUAUUUAUAGCCAAUGCAACGAGGAGCAGGUGAUUUAAGAGGAGCUCGCUGCCCCCAACCCCCUCAGAGUUACAACUCAUACAACAAAAACACAUUACCCCCCGUUCCUCGUGGAUUACUCUUGCAUUUGCCAGUGAUGUAUAGCCUACAAAGACCUCACAGUGGAAACACUUGGAAAAGAUUUAUAGUUCCGGUGCGAGGGAACGUCGUGUGUGUGCACAUCAACAGUAGAGCGGGAAAAAAAGAAAGAAAUGACAUUCUCAGAAGGCUCUGUAAAUUACCAUGCUUUUGUUUGUACAUAUGUCGCGUUUUGUUUUUUUUUUUGUUUUUUUUUGUAAAUCUGAACUUUUGUUAUGAAGCUAAUAAUGAUAGACUGGAAUGCAGCUCAGCUCCGGGCUGUAGCGAUCCCUCAGACUUUCCCGCGGUUGAAAAGCAUCACGGUGCCAACGUCUGCAUGAGGUAAACUCGUUGUGAGUUGGUUUAAAAUGUAAUAAAAAAAUAUUUAUUUUUCUAAUUCAAACAUGUAUGUGAACUUAACUUAAUCGUUGUCGUUUUUUUGUUUUUUUAUAAAUAAAUUACGAACCCGGAAAACAAAACACCUCGAACUCGGUUUCAUUACCAUGACGUUAUUUCAAAGUACAACGAAGACUCUCUUAGAAUGCAAAUAGCACACGGGGUUUCAAUCUGUGCCCAUUAAUUACUUAAAUACACUUGCCUAAAUUGCUCUGCUGGCGCUCAGUGGUGACGCUAAAGGCUCGGAGUGUUGUUUUGCCACAUAAGCAAUUAGGUUAAUAAAACACCCUGUUGACAAAGAGCGGACUUGACCAGACCUGACAGUCAGUGAAGAGUCGCUGUGAAUCAGACAUGUUUCUUAACUUUAUCAACAACAACAACAACCGUAGUCCUGAAAUCUUUUUUUU